rnacentral:rRNA from 1 species
CAGUAAGUAUCCCACCUGGGGAGUACGACCGCAAGGUUGAAACUCAAAGGAAUUGACGGGGGCCCGCACAAGCAGUGGAGUAUGUGGUUUAAUUCGAAGCAACGCGAAGAACCUUACCAGGGCUUGACAUAUACCUGAAUUAGCAAGAGAUUGCUAAGCCUUUCGGGGCAGGUAUACAGGUGGUGCAUGGUUGUCGUCAGCUCGUGUCGUGAGAUGUUGGGUUAAGUCCCGCAACGAGCGCAACCCCUGUGAUUAGUUGCUAACAGUAAGAUGAGAACUCUAAUCAGACUGCCGUAGAGAAUACGGAGGAAGGUGGGGAUGACGUCAAAUCAUCAUGCCCUAUAUGCCCUGGGCUACACACGUACUACAAUGGUAGCAAACAGAGAGAAGCGAAGUAGUGAUACUAAGCGGAACUUAGAAAAGCUAUCCCAGUUCGGAUUGUAGGCUGAAAUUCGCCUGCAUGAAGCCGGAAUUGCUAGUAAUGGCAGGUCAGCAUACUGCCGUGAAUACGUUCCCGGGCCUUGUACACACCGCCCGUCACACCAUGAGAGUUGGAGAUACCCGAAGCCUGUGAGCCGACGAAAGAGGCAGCAGUCGAAGGUAGAAUCAAUGAUUGGGGUGAAGUCGUAACAAGGUAGCCGUA